UACGUAGGGCGCAAGCGUUGUCCGGAAUCAUUGGGCGUAAAGAGCGUGUAGGCGGCCCGAUAAGUCCGCUGUGAAAGUCCAGGGCUCAACCCUGGGAUGCCGGUGGAUACUGUCGGGCUCGAGUCCGGAAGAGGAGUGUGGAAUUCCUGGUGUAGCGGUGAAAUGCGCAGAUAUCAGGAGGAACACCAAUGGCGAAGGCAGCACUCUGGGACGUGACUGACGCUGAGACGCGAAAGCGUGGGAGCAAACAGG
rnacentral:rRNA from 1 species